UUUCCGUAGGUGAACCUGCGGAGGGAUCAUUACUGAGUGAGGGCUUCGGUCCGACCUCCAACCCUUUGUGUAUCUCGACCCUGUUGCCUCGGGGGCGACCCGGCCUUCGGGCGUCGGGGCCCCCGGUGGACCACCCAACCCUGCAUCGUUGCGUCUGAGUCGAAAUAUAAAUCAAUCAAAACUUUCAACAACGGAUCUCUUGGUUCUGGCAUCGAUGAAGAACGCAGC
rnacentral:misc_RNA from 1 species